GACGAACGCUGGCGGCGUGCCUAAUACAUGCAAGUUGAGCGCUGAAGGUUGGUACUUGUACCAACUGGAUGAGCAGCGAACGGGUGAGUAACGCGUGGGGAAUCUGCCUUUGAGCGGGGGACAACAUUUGGAAACGAAUGCUAAUACCGCAUAAAAACUUUAAACACAAGUUUUAAGUUUGAAAGAUGCAAUUGCAUCACUCAAAGAUGAUCCCGCGUUGUAUUAGCUAGUUGGUGAGGUAAAGGCUCACCAAGGCGAUGAUACAUAGCCGACCUGAGAGGGGGAUCGGCCACAUUGGGACUGAGACACGGCCCAAACUCCUACGGGAGGCAGCAGUAGGGAAUCUUCGGCAAGGGACGAAAGUCUGACCGAGCAACGCCGCGUGAGUGAAGAAGGUUUUCGGAUCGUAAAACUCUGUUGGUAGAGAAGAACGUUGGUGAGAGUGGAAAGCUCAUCAAGUGACGGUAACUACCCAGAAAGGGACGGCUAACUACGUG
rnacentral:rRNA from 1 species